AGAGUUUGAUCCUGGCUCAGGAUGAACGCUGGCGGCGUGCCUAACACAUGCAAGUCGAGCGGAGACAGUGAGUAGCUUGCUAUGAGCUGUUUUAGCGGCGGACGGGUGAGUAACGCGUGAGCAACCUUUCCCAGACAGGGGAAUAACACACCGAAAGGUGUACUAAUACCGCAUAAGACCACGGGAUCACAUGGUUCUGAGGUAAAAGAUUUAUCGGUUUGGGGUGGGCUCGCGUCCGAUUAGGUAGUUGGUGAGGUAACGGCCCACCAAGCCGACGAUCGGUAGCCGACCUGAGAGGGUGAUCGGCCACAUUGGGACUGAGACACGGCCCAAACUCCUACGGGAAGCAGCAGUGGGGAAUAUUGGGCAAUGGAGGAAACUCUGACCCAGCAACGCCGCGUGGGGGAAGAAGGUUUUCGGAUCGUAAACUCCUGUUCUUGGAGACGAGUAGAAGACCGUAUCCCACGAUGAAGUGACGGCUAACUACGUGCCCAGCAGGCGGCGGUAAAAGGUAGGUCACAAGCGUUGUCCGGGAUUACUGGGUGGUAAAGGGGACGCACGCGGGAAGAAAAGUUGGAACUGGAAAUCUUUUGGGCUCAACCCCAUAAACUGGUUUUCAAAACUGUUUUUCUUGAGUAGUGCAGAGGUAGGCGGAAUUCCCGGUGUAGCGGUGGAAUGCGUAGAUAUCGGGAGGAACACCAGUGGCGAAGGCGGCCUACUGGGCACCAACUGACGCUGAGGCUCGAAAGUGUGGGUAGCAAACAGGAUUAGAUACCCUGGUAGUCCACACCGUAAACGAUGAUUACUAGGUGUUGGAGGAUUGACCCCUUCAGUGCCGCAGUUAACACAAUAAGUAAUCCACCUGGGGAGUACGACCGCAAGGUUGAAACUCAAAGGAAUUGACGGGGGCCCGCACAAGCAGUGGAGUAUGUGGUUUAAUUCGACGCAACGCGAAGAACCUUACCAAGUCUUGACAUCCCUUGACAGGCAUAGAAAUAUGUUUUCUCUUCGGAGCAAGGAGACAGGUGGUGCAUGGUUGUCGUCAGCUCGUGUCGUGAGAUGUUGGGUUAAGUCCCGCAACGAGCGCAACCCCUAUGUUCAGUAGCCAGCAGGUAAAGCUGGGCACUCUGGACAGACUGCCGGGGAUAACCCGGAGGAAGGCGGGGAUGACGUCAAAUCAUCAUGCCCCUUACGGCCUGGGCUACACACGUGCUACAAUGGCGUAAACAAAGGGAAGCGAGAGGGUGACCUGGAGCGAAUCCCAAAAAUAACGUCCCAGUUCGGACUGUAGUCUGCAACCCGACUACACGAAGUUGGAAUCGCUAGUAAUCGCGAAUCAGCAUGUCGCGGUGAAUACGUUCCCGGGUCUUGCACACAACGCCCGUCA
rnacentral:rRNA from 1 species